GGCUAGGGGUUGUGGCUCAGUGGUAGAUCAUCUGCUUUGCAUGCAGGAAGCCCAAAGUUCAACCCUUGGCCUAGAAUCUCCCA
rnacentral:tRNA from 1 species